GUUGUUUAUCGUUCAUCAUCGUCUCCUACCCGUUUUCGGCCACAGCAACUGCUUUCUACCGCUGAGAGUGUCGCGGGUGCGCUCUCAGGUGACUGACGUAGCCAAUCUUAGCAGCGGAUGUGCGGCCACACUCGCUGCAGCUGCCUCUUGGCUGCUCUCCUCACUCGCUCCUCUUUCUCCUGCUCCUCGCGGCAGCGGUGGAAGUUCUCCACGACCACUCCCACAAACAUGUUCAGCACGAAGAACCCCACAAGCAGUAUGAACGCGAUGAAGUACAGGAGACGCCAUUCAGAGUAGUUCACUAUUGGCUGUUUGCAAGGGAUUCAAUGUAUGACUUGUUUUUAAAAUUUUAAAUAAAGCUUUAUCAAUAAAA